CUUUUUGGAGAGUUUGAUCCUGGCUCAGGACGAACGCUGGCGGCGUGCCUAAUACAUGCAAGUCGAGCGGAUCUAAAGGAGCUUGCUCCUUUAGAUUAGCGGCGGACGGGUGAGUAACACGUGGGCAACCUGCCCUGCAGAUUGGGAUAACUCCGGGAAACCGGGGCUAAUACCGAAUAAUAUCGAAGAUUUCAUGAUCUUCUUUUGAAAGAUGGCAUCUCGCUGUCACUGCAGGAUGGGCCCGCGGCGCAUUAGCUAGUUGGUGAGGUAACGGCUCACCAAGGCAACGAUGCGUAGCCGACCUGAGAGGGUGAUCGGCCACACUGGGACUGAGACACGGCCCAGACUCCUACGGGAGGCAGCAGUAGGGAAUCUUCCGCAAUGGACGAAAGUCUGACGGAGCAACGCCGCGUGAGUGAUGAAGGUUUUCGGAUCGUAAAACUCUGUCCUCAG
rnacentral:rRNA from 1 species